CUCCAUGCCCGAGAUGCUCACGUUUUGUGGGGUGGGAGAGUGGCCAGCACAUUGACAAGCCUGGUUCCCCAGCUGGCCCUGCACCAUGGAGCAGCCGCACGUGUUGGAGAGAGCAGCUGAUGGGCGUCCCAGAGAUGGGGUGAUGAUUAUGAUGAAGAAGGUGAAGAAGCAGAUGAGGAAGGGGAAGAAGGAGGAGAUGAGGAAAAUGAUCCAGACUAUGACCCAAAGAAGGAUCAAAACCCAGCAGAGUGCAAGCAGCAGUGAA